ACUGGCAGCAACUCCAGAAAAUUCUCCAAUCAAAAGCAAUUCCUGGAGAUGUACAGUGGAGUCCUUCAAAGUUAACGUGAGCUGACGCUGUGGCCUUUGGAGAAACAAGCUGCCUGAGGGGCUCCUUUAGACCACCUUUCGGGCACAGCACGAGAGCUUUUCUUCUACAAAUCUAUGCCCACCCCAAAACAAAGACUGACAUAGAGUUGUGGUGCAGACAUUGGACGCUGACCAGGAGGAGAAGAGCAGAAAGGGAGAUGAGCGGACACAGCAGUGCCCCAAGAUACAUGCAAAGCCAGGAGAAAAAGUCCGUGAUAGAAAGCCAGCGAUGUUCUUCGAGGCACAAAGGACCAUUUCACGAGAGAAUCCCUCGAGGAGCGCUGACGGUGCCUCUGACACCCGACGCCA